UUGGGUAACACUAACUGGAGGACCGAACCGACUAAUGUUGAAAAAUUAGCGGAUGACUUGUGGCUGGGGGUGAAAGGCCAAUCAAACCGGGAGAUAGCUGGUUCUCCCCGAAAGCUAUUUAGGUAGCGCCUCGUGAAUUCAUCUCCGGGGGUAGAGCACUGUUUCGGCUAGGGGGUCAUCCCGACUUACCAACCCGAUGCAAACUGCGAAUACCGGAGAAUGUUAUCACGGGAGACACACGGCGGGUGCUAACGUUCGUCGUGAAGAGGGAAACAACCCAGACCGCCGGCUAAGGUCCCAAAGUCAUAAUUAAGUGGGAAACGAAGUGGGAAGGCUCAGACAGCCAGGAUGUUGGCUUAGAAGCAGCCAUCAUUUAAAGAAAGCGUAAUAGCUCACUGGUCGAGUCGGCCUGCGCGGAAGAUGUAACGGGGCUAAAUUAUGCACCGAAGCCGCGGCAGCGAUAUGUAAAUAUUGUUGGGUAGGGGAGCGUUCUGUAAGCCUGUGAAGGUGUGCUGUGAGGCAUGCUGGAGGUAUCAGAAGUGCGAAUGCUGACAUAAGUAACGAUAAUGCGGGUGAAAAACCCGCACGCCGGAAGACCAAGGGUUCCUGUCCAACGUUAAUCGGGGCAGGGUGAGUCGACCCCUAAGGCGAGGCUGAAAAGCGUAGUCGAUGGGCAACGGGUUAAUAUUCCCGUACUGGUGGUAACUGCGAAGGGGGGACGGAGAAAGCUAAAUCAUCCGGGCGACGGUUGUCCCGGUUUAAGCGUGCAGGUGGACUGACCAGGCAAAUCCGGUCG
rnacentral:rRNA from 1 species